rnacentral:rRNA from 1 species
AGGCCUACGGGGGGCAGCAGUCGGGAAUAUUGCACAAUGGAGGAAACUCUGAUGCAGUGACACCGCGUAUAGGAAGAAGGUUUUCGGAUUGUAAACUAUUUUAGACAGGGAAGAAAAAAGACAGUACCUGUAGAAUAAGCUCCGGCUAACUACGUGCCAGCAGCCGCGGCAAUACGUAGGGAGCAAGCGUUAUCCGGAUUUAUUGGGUGUAAAGGGUGCGUAGACGGAGAAACAAGUUGGUUGUGAAAUCCCUCGGCUCAACUGAGGAACUGCAACCAAAACUAUUUCCCUUGAGUGUCGGAGAG